GAUACGAGAUUAGAGCCAAGACAACAUACAUAGACACAAGCAUGGCGUUUUCAACCACCUAUGGAGCUGUCCUUCUAUAUUUUUGUAUGACACUGUACUUUUCCCUGGUUACAAGUUACACACAAUACGUGACCACUGAUGCAUGUAAAGCUCUCAAUGGAAACUGUGUGGACAGUCGGUUGGUCAGAUGUGCCGGACUGGACUUUAACAUCUGUGGGUCUGAACCGUAUGCUGCUUGCUGCCCAGGAAUAGCCAUUGGCUAGCGGGAUACAUCAGAAUGAUGCGAACUCUUGUCUUUCCUGCUGAGUAGAUGUGGUUAUCAUCAUAAUGAUGUAUGGAGUCAAACAAUAAAGUAUACAUUCUCC